AGCUUUGUGCAACGGCUGCAUCGUAGCCAAAGAGGUUAAUCUCAGGCGCGGUUACUGCUAAUUGAAAAUUUGUUUUAUAUGAUUUAUGCUGUACUUGUGAUGUUCUAUUAUGUUCUUAUUAUUUAUUGUUUGUAAACUGCGUUGGGAUUCAUUUGAAUGA
rnacentral:snRNA from 1 species